rnacentral:rRNA from 1 species
AGAGUGUUCAAAGCAGGCAGAUCCAAUUUUCUGCCACCGAAUACAUUAGCAUGGGAUAAUGGAAUAGGACCCUGUCCUCCUAUUUUCAGUUGGUUUUGGCAGCGCGAGGACUAGGGUAAUGAUUAAUAGGGAUAGUUGGGGGCAUUAAUAUUUAAUUGUCAGAGGUGAAAUUCUUGGAUUUAUGAAAGAUUAACUUCUGCGAAAGCAUCUGCCAAGGAUGUUUUCAUUAAUCAAGAACGAAAGUUAGGGGAUCGAAGACGAUCAGAUACCGUCGUAGUCUUAACCAUAAACGAUGCCGACCAGCGAUUAGGAGACGUUGAAUACAAAACACCACCAUCGGCGCGGUCGUCCUUGGCGUCGGUUUCGGCCGGCGCGGGGGCGGCUUAGCCCGGUGGCACCGG